AACGAACGCUGGCGGCAUGCCUAACACAUGCAAGUCGAACGAUUGCCUUCGGGUGAUAGUGGCGCACGGGUGCGUAACGCGUGGGAAUCUGCCCUUAGGUUCGGAAUAACAGCUGGAAACGGCUGCUAAUACCGGAUGAUAUCGCGAGAUCAAAGAUUUAUCGGCUGGGGAUGGGCCCGCGUUGGAUUAGGUAGGUGGUGGGGUAAAGGCCUACCAAGCCGACGAUCCAUAGCUGGUCUGAGGGGAUGAUCAGCCGCACUGGGACUGAGACACGGCCCAGACUCCUACGGGAGGCAGCAGUGGGGAAUAUUGGACAAUGGGCGCAAGCCUGAUCCAGCAAUGCCGCGUGAGUGAGGAAGGCCCUAGGGUUGUAAAGCUCUUUUACCCGGGAAGAUAAUGACUGUACCGGGAGAAUAAGCACCGGCUAACUCCGUG
rnacentral:rRNA from 1 species